UUGACCUCAAAUCGGGUGAGACUACCCGCUGAACUUAAGCAUAUCAAUAAGCGGAGGAAAAGAAACUAACAAGGAUUCCCCUAGUAACUGCGAGUGAAGCGGGAAAAGCUCAAAUUUAAAUCUGGCGGUCUUGGCCGU
rnacentral:rRNA from 1 species